GAUGAAGAACGUAGCGAAAUGCGAUACGUAAUGUGAAUUGCAGUAUUCAGUGAAUCAUCGAAUCUUUGAACGCAUAUUGCGCUCUCUGGUAUUCCGGAGAGCAUGCUUGUUUGAGUAUCAGUAAACACCUCAACUUCCAUAUCUUUUUUGAAAUGGGAGUUGGACUUGAGUGAUCCCAACGCUUUUCCUCACCGAAAAGUGGCGGGUUACUUGAAAUGCAGGUGCAGCUGGACUUUUCUCUGAGCUAUAAGCAUAUCUAUUUAGUCUGCCUAAAAACAGAUUAUUACCUUUGCUGCAGCUAACAUAAAGGAGAUUAGUUCUUGUGCUGACUGAUGCAGGAUUCACAAAGACAGGCUUCGGCCGACUUUGUAAACUCGAUCUCAAAUCAAGUAAGACUACCCGCUGAACUUAAGCAUAUCAAUAAGCGGAGGA
rnacentral:misc_RNA from 1 species